CGGGUGAGUAACACGUGGNNNNNUNCCCAAUGGUACGGAAUAACCCAGGGAAACUUGGAUUAAUACCGUAUGUGCCCUUCGGGGGAAAGAUUUAUCGCCAUUGGAUGAACCCGCGUCGGAUUAGCUAGUUGGUGAGGUAAAGGCUCACCAAGGCGACGAUCCGUAGCUGGUCUGAGAGGAUGAUCAGCCACACUGGGACUGAGACACGGCCCAGACUCCUACGGGAGGCAGCAGUGGGGAAUAUUGGACAAUGGGCGCAAGCCUGAUCCAGCCAUGCCGCGUGAGUGAUGAAGGCCUUAGGGUUGUAAAGCUCUUUCGCCGGUGAAGAUAAUGACGGUAACCGGAGAAGAAGCCCCGGCUAACUUCGUGCCAGCAGCCGCGGUAAUACGAAGGGGGCUAGCGUUGCUCGGAAUCACUGGGCGUAAAGCGCACGUAGGCGGAUCGUUAAGUCAGGGGUGAAAUCCUGGAGCUCAACUCCAGAACUGCCCUUGAUACUGGCGAUCUCGAGUUCGAGAGAGGUUGGUGGAACUCCGAGUGUAGAGGUGAAAUUCGUAGAUAUUCGGAAGAACACCAGUGGCGAAGGCGGCCAACUGGCUCGAUA
rnacentral:rRNA from 1 species